rnacentral:rRNA from 1 species
AGUGAACGCUGGCGGUAGGCCUAACACAUGCAAGUCGAACGGCAGCACAGUAAGGGCUUGCUCUUACGGGUGGCGAGUGGCGGACGGGUGAGGAAUACAUCGGAAUCUACUUUUUCGUGGGGGAUAACGUAGGGAAACUUACGCUAAUACCGCAUACGACCUACGGGUGAAAGCAGGGGAUCUUCGGACCUUGCGCGAUUGAAUGGGCCGAUGUCGGAUUAGCUAGUUGGCGGGGUAAAGGCCCACCAAGGCGACGAUCCGUAGCUGGUCUGAGAGGAUGAUCAGCCACACUGGAACUGAGACACGGUCCAGACUCCUACGGGAGGCAGCAGUGGGGAAUAUUGGACAAUGGGCGCAAGCCUGAUCCAGCCAUACCGCGUGGGUGAAGAAGGCCUUCGGGUUGUAAAGCCCUUUUGUUGGGAAAGAAAAGCAGCAGGUUAAUACCCCGCUGUUCUGACGGUACCCAAAGAAUAAGCACCGGCUAACUUCGUG